rnacentral:rRNA from 1 species
ACCUACGGGACGCAGCAGUGAGGAAUAUUGGUCAAUGGGCUUACGCCUGAACCAGCCAAGUCGCGUGAGGGAAGACUGCCCUAUGGGUUGUAAACCUCUUUUGUCAGGGAGCAACGCCGGCUACGUGUAGCCGGACUGAGAGUACCUGAAGAAAAAGCAUCGGCUAACUCCGUGCCAGCAGCCGCGGUAAUACGGAGGAUGCGAGCGUUAUCCGGAUUUAUUGGGUUUAAAGGGUGCGUAGGCGGACUGUUAAGUCAGCGGUAAAAGCCCGGGGCUCAACCCCGGGGAGCCGCUGAAACUGGCUG